UUUCAGCAACGGAUCUCUUGGCUCUCGCAUCGAUGAAGAACGCAGCGAAAUGCGAUAAGUAAUGUGAAUUGCAGAAUUCAGUGAAUCAUCGAAUCUUUGAACGCACCUUGCGCUCCUUGGUAUUCCGAGGAGCAUGCCUGUUUGAGUGUCAU
rnacentral:rRNA from 1 species